rnacentral:rRNA from 1 species
UUCUUGGGUGACGAGCGGCGGACGGGUGAGUAAUGCAUAGGAAUCUGCCCGAUAGUGGGGGAUAACCUGGGGAAACCCAGGCUAAUACCGCAUACGUCCUACGGGAGAAAGGGGGCUCCGGCUCCCGCUAUUGGAUGAGCCUAUGUCGGAUUAGCUAGUUGGUGAGGUAAAGGCUCACCAAGGCAACGAUCCGUAGCUGGUCUGAGAGGAUGAUCAGCCACAUCGGGACUGAGACACGGCCCGAACUCCUACGGGAGGCAGCAGUGGGGAAUAUUGGACAAUGGGCGCAAGCCUGAUCCAGCCAUGCCGCGUGUGUGAAGAAGGCCCUCGGGUUGUAAAGCACUUUCAGCGAGGAAGAACGCCUAGCGGUUAAUACCCGCUAGGAAAGACAUCACUCGCAGAAGAAGCACCGGCUAACUCCGUGCCAGCAGCCGCGGUAAUACGGAGGGUGCAAGCGUUAAUCGGAAUUACUGGGCGUAAAGCGCGCGUAGGUGGCUUGAUAAGCCGGUUGUGAAAGCCCCGGGCUCAACCUGGGAACGGCAUCCGGAACUGUCAAGCUAGAGUGCAGGAGAGGAAGGUAGAAUUCCCGGUGUAGCGGU